GGGCGCUUAGUCUCAGCUGGUUUAGAGCGUCUCGUUUACACCGAGAAGGUCGGGGGUUCGAAUCCCUCAGCGCCCA
rnacentral:tRNA from 1 species